GGCAGGCCUAACACAUGCAAGUCGAGCGGAAACGAGUUAUCUGAACCUUCGGGGAACGAUAACGGCGUCGAGCGGCGGACGGGUGAGUAAUGCCUAGGAAAUUGCCCUGAUGUGGGGGAUAACCAUUGGAAACGAUGGCUAAUACCGCAUAAUACCUACGGGUCAAAGAGGGGGACCUUCGGGCCUCUCGCGUCAGGAUAUGCCUAGGUGGGAUUAGCUAGUUGGUGAGGUAAUGGCUCACCAAGGCGACGAUCCCUAGCUGGUCUGAGAGGAUGAUCAGCCACACUGGAACUGAGACACGGUCCAGACUCCUACGGGAGGCAGCAGUGGGGAAUAUUGCACAAUGGGCGCAAGCCUGAUGCAGCCAUGCCGCGUGUGUGAAGAAGGCCUUCGGGUUGUAAAGCACUUUCAGUCGUGAGGAAGGUAGUGUAGUUAAUAGCUGCAUUAUUUGACGUUAGCGACAGAAGAAGCACCGGCUAACUCCGUGCCAGCAGCCGCGGUAAUACGGAGGGUGCGAGCGUUAAUCGGAAUUACUGGGCGUAAAGCGCAUGCAGGUGGUUUGUUAAGUCAGAUGUGAAAGCCCGGGGCUCAACCUCGGAAUAGCAUUUGAAACUGGCAGACUAGAGUACUGUAGAGGGGGGUAGAAUUUCAGGUGUAGCGGUGAAAUGCGUAGAGAUCUGAAGGAAUACCGGUGGCGAAGGCGGCCCCCUGGACAGAUACUGACACUCAGAUGCGAAAGCGUGGGGAGCAAACAGGAUUAGAUACCCUGGUAGUCCACGCCGUAAACGAUGUCUACUUGGAAGUUGUGGCCUUGAGCCGUGGCUUUCGGAGCUAACGCGUUAAGUAGACCGCCUGGGGAGUACGGUCGCAAGAUUAAAACUCAAAUGAAUUGACGGGGGCCCGCACAAGCGGUGGAGCAUGUGGUUUAAUUCCAUGCA
rnacentral:rRNA from 1 species